CAGUCGCCGCGGGAAUACGAAGGGGGCUAGCGUUGUUCGGAUUAACUAGGCGUAAAGGGCGCGUAGGCGGGUUUUUAAGUCAGAGGUGAAAUCCCAAGGCUCAACCUUGGAACUGCCUUUUAUACUGGAAGUCUUGAGUCCGGGAGAGGUGAGUGGAACUGCGAGUGUAGAGGUGAAAUUCGUAGAUAUUCGCAAGAACACCAGUGGCGAAGGCAGCCCCCUGGGCCAACACUGACGCUCAUGCACGAAAGCGUGGGGAGCAAACAGGAUUAGAUACCCCAGUAGUCCCUGUCUCUUAUAC
rnacentral:rRNA from 1 species